UCGUGAAUCUGUUUUUCGGAUUAAUGAGUUUCUUGUGAUGGAUCUUAUGUUGUAUUGAUCUAGGGUUUUGAUGGUACUUGGAGGAGGCUUGAUUCAGCGUAAAACUGCUACCAUUUUCUUCUUCUUUCUAGUGGUGAUUGAUUGGUUAGAUUUCUUCCUCAUCUUUCGCUAUUAUGUGUUUUCUUUUAGGGUUUGCUAAUACUUCGUAUCUAAUAUCUUGUUUAGGGUUUUAUGGAAGCUUGUCUCUGCGUGAAACCCGUCUUCGAGGUAUGUAAAUCUCUAUCUUUCCCGAUUUCAACCUUUGUUUUUUGGUUUUGUUUUUCAGUUUUCAAGUAUCGAAAUCGGUCGAGAACAAACAUGUAUGAUCACUUCUCGUCGAUGAGAUUAUUUUGCAAUUGAAAUCUGUUUUGGGAUCAUGAUUUUAUUUGUUUUCAAACCCUAAUAAUUGCUAUCCGGAUUUUGGAAUCAAGAUUUUUUGUUUUCAAACCCUAAUAAUUUUUAUCCGGAUUCUUGAUUUUGGGAAAUUGGGAACUUUUGGUUUUGUUUUUGAUGUUUUCGUUUUUCUUUCAAAACCCAAAAAGAUUCAUGGGCAGGCACUAACUAAUAGUGUUCUGUCAGAUUCUAUUUGGGGACAUUGUCCCGAGCAUAAUUGUGGAUUGAAUCAGAUGUAUUGGCUGGGUAGUGCAUGCGUGUUGGGAGAUGGAAAUGACCAACGGCUUAAACAAGUCUUAAAGACAGAGGACUAAAGAGUUCACAAUUUUAAUACCAUCGGCUUAGAAAGUAAUAAGACAUAAAGAUUUAAAGACAUUGGGGUGGAUGGUUAUAACGACCACCUAGGACCAACGGCUUAUUAAGUCUGAAAGACAUAGACUAAAGAGUUGCCAUCGGCUUAGAAAAGUGAUAAGACAUAAAGAGUCAAAGACAAUGGGGUGGAUGGUUAUAACGACCACCUCGGACCAACGGCUUAACAAGUCAGAAAGACAUAGACUAAAGAGUUGCCAUCGGCUUAGAAAAGUGAUAAGACAUAAAGAGUUAAGACAAUGGGGUGGAUGGUUAAAACGACCACCUCGGACCAACGGCUUAACAAGUCUGAAAGACAUAGACUAAAGAGUUGCCAUCGGCUUAGAAAAGUGAUAAGACAUAAAGAGUCAAAGACAAUGGGGUGGAUGGUUAUAACGACCACCUCGGACCAACGGCUUAACAAGUCAGAAAGACAUAGACUAAAGAGUUGCCAUCGGCUUAGAAAAGUGAUAAGACAUAAAGAGUUAAGACAAUGGGGGUGGAUGGUUAUAACGACCACCUAGGAUGGAAUAGACCAUCUGCUGAAAAGGAUGAGGGGAUAUGUUGGAUGGUAAAAACGACCAACAGUUUGAAGAUACUUGAUAAAGACUAUAGAGUGUUCAAGACUCGUUGGAUACAACUUAAAAGAAGGCUUAAGAUAAAGACUUAGCCUAAAACAAAUAGGAAAAACAAAGAAAUGCUUAAAAGUCUUUGAGUCUUUAGGCAAAUACAAUCAACAUCAAAGAACGAGGUAAGUAUAGGGGUAUUACUUGUAAUGGAGACUAACCAAUUUUUAUUUCUUCAGGUAUGUGCGUCUGACUACGUUCAAAUUGAUGGACUCUGAGGAGAUUUCAAGACUUUUUUGACAGGUAUGUACUUUUCUAUCUUGUUUGUAAUUAGACAGAGACAUGAAGUAAUGACUAAUUAUAAUUUGUUCAGGUAUAUGCUUCAAAAAGGUGCUUUCUAAUGGUAUAUCCUUUUUUAGACUUUUCUGUGAUAAAUUGAUAUUAUUACAAGUGAAAAUUUACAUAUUUAAGUUGAAUGAUAUAUU
rnacentral:lncRNA from 1 species